AGUUUUUCUGGUGCUUGCACUAGAAAAACUUAGCGGCGAACGGGUGAGUAACACGUAAAGAACCUGCCUCAUAGACGGGGACAACUAUUGGAAACGAUAGCUAAUACCGGAUAACAGCAUAAAUCGCAUGAUAUAUGUUUAAAAGUUGGUUUCGGCUAACACUAUGAGAUGGCUUUGCGGUGCAUUAGCUAGUUGGUGGGGUAAAGGCCUACCAAGGCGACGAUGCAUAGCCGACCUGAGAGGGUGAUCGGCCACACUGGGACCGAGACACGGCCCAGACUCCUACGGGAGGCAGCAGUAGGGAAUCUUCCGCAAUGGGCGAAAGCCUGACGGAGCAACGCCGCGUGAGUGAAGAAGGAUUUCGGUUCGUAAAGCUCUGUUGUUAGGGAAGAAUGAUUGUAUAGUAACUAUAUACAGUAGAGACGGUACCUAACCAGAAAGCCACGGCUAACUACGUGCCAGCAGCCGCGGUAAUACGUAGGUGGCAAGCGUUGUCCGGAAUUAUUGGGCGUAAAGCGCGCGCAGGUGGUUUAAUAAGUCUGAUGUGAAAGCCCACGGCUCAACCGUGGAGGGUCAUUGGAAACUGUUAAACUUGAGUGCAGGGGAGAAAAGUGGAAUUCCUAGUGUAGCGGUGAAAUGCGUAGAGAUUAGGAGGAACACCAGUGGCGAAGGCGGCUUUUUGGCCUGUAACUGACACUGAGGCGCGAAAGCGUGGGGAGCAAACAGGAUUAGAUACCCUGGUAGUCCACGCCGUAAACGAUGAGUGCUAAGUGUUGGUCUCAUAAGAGAUCAGUGCUGCAG
rnacentral:rRNA from 1 species